CUUGGUCAUUUAGAGGAAGUAAAAGUCGUAACAAGGUUUCCGUAGGUAAGUGGAGAAGCUUUCCAUCUUACACCCCCCAUAAUAACGUGCUGACUUUUCUCUUUUAGGUGAACCUGCGGAAGGAUCAUUACCGAGUGUGACCCCCCCGUAAAAAAGGGGGGUGCCUCCCGUCCUUUGCAGGCCUUUAGGGGCUUUCAGACUUCGCUUCGGCGGGGCUGCCCCGCCGGAACACCCUCAAGAAAAUCUCGAAAAAAAAACCGUUCCGUCCGAGGUUUGCGAUAAUAAGAAAAACUUUCAACAACGGAUCUCUUGGUUCUGGCAUCGAUGAAGAACGCAGCGAAAUGCGAUAAGUAAUGUGAAUUGCAGAAUUCAGUGAAUCAUCGAAUCUUUGAACGCACAUUGCGCCCUCUGGUAUUCCGGGGGGCACACCUGUUCGAGCGCCAUUUCGACCCUCAAGCACAGCUUGGUGUUGGGCAUGGUCCUGCGGGACCCGCCCGUAACUCGUAGGCGGCCGCCGCCCGCGCCCCCAGCGUAGCAAGCUCACGCGUUCGCUCGGGGACGGCGCGUCUGGCCCGCCAGACAAUUUUUUCAAGGUUUGGCCUCGGAUCAGGUGGGGAUACCCGCUGAACUUAAGCAUAUCAAUAAGCGGAGGA
rnacentral:rRNA from 1 species